CAGGAUGAACGCUGGCGGCGUGCUUAAUACAUGCAAGUCGAACGAAGCACUUUGACAGAUCCCCUCGGGGUGAAGAUGAUUGUGACUUAGUGGCGGACGGGUGAGUAACGCGUGGGGAACCUGCCUCGUGCUGGGGGAUAACAGUUAGAAAUGACUGCUAAUACCGCAUAAGCGCACAGUGAGGCAUCUUACAGUGUGAAAAGAUUUAUCGGCAUGAGAUGGACCCGCGUCUGAUUAGGUAGUUGGCGGGGUAACGGCCCACCAAGCCCGCGAUCAGUAGCCGACUUGAGAGAGUGAUCGGCCACAUUGGGACUGAGACACGGCCCAGACUCCUACGGGAGGCAGCAGUAGGGAAUAUUGCACAAUGGGGGAAACCCUGAUGCAGCGACGCCGCGUGAGUGAUGAAGUAUUUCGGUACGUAAAACUCUAUCAGCAGGGAAGAUAAUGACGGUACCUGACUAAGAAGCCCCGGCUAACUACGUGCCAGCAGCAGC
rnacentral:rRNA from 1 species